GUCUUUACAACAACGCAUUCAGCUGUUAUGUUUAUCCAUAAUAAGAGGUAUUUUACUACGAAUGUGAUUUUCUGCAUACUGAAAAGUAGUGGGAAAGGAGGCCAUUCAUUUAACCAGAUAUGUUGGCGUAAAUGCAGGAAGUGUUUGAAGAGCGGCAUCUGCCUCAGGAUUUUACUCUUUCACUUUACGUUUCCUUCCCGUUUACCUCUCAUUCCUGGGACAUUAUUUGAUUGAGAUAUACUUUUUG